GGAAAGGCGAAAAGAACCCCGGCGAGGGGAGUGAAAAAGAACCUGAAACCGUGUACGUACAAGCAGUGGGAGCACCCUUCGGGGUGUGACUGCGUACCUUUUGUAUAAUGGGUCAGCGACUUAUAUUCUGUAGCAAGGUUAACCGUAUAGGGGAGCCGGAGGGAAACCGAGUCUUAAUUGGGCGUUAAGUUGCAGGGUAUAGACCCGAAACCCGGUGAUCUAGCCAUGGGCAGGUUGAAGGUUGGGUAACACUAACUGGAGGACCGAACCGACUAAUGUUGAAAAAUUAGCGGAUGACCUGUGGCUGGGGGUGAAAGGCCAAUCAAACCGGGAGAUAGCUGGUUCUCCCCGAAAGCUAUUUAGGUAGCGCCUCGUGAAUUCAUCUCCGGGGGUAGAGCACUGUUUCGGCUAGGGGGCCAUCCCGGCUUACCAACCCGAUGCAAACUGCGAAUACCGGAGAAUGUUAUCACGGGAGACACACGGCGGGUGCUAACGUCCGUCGUGAAGAGGGAAACAACCCAGACCGCCAGCUAAGGUCCCAAAGUCAUGGUUAAGUGGGAAACGAUGUGGGAAGGCCCAGACAGCCAGGAUGUUGGCUUAGAAGCAGCCAUCAUUUAAAGAAAGCGUAAUAGCUCACUGGUCGAGUCGGCCUGCGCGGAAGAUGUAACGGGGCUAAACCAUGCACCGAAGCUGCGGCAGCGAACGUAUCACCCAAGACAACUUUACGGAGUUGACGAUUGACGGAGCGAAGCGACGUCAAAGCGUUCAUUAAAGUCGAGUUGGCUUAGGGAUACGUUCGUUGGGUAGGGGAGCGUUCUGUAAGCCUGUGAAGGUGUGUCGUGAGGCAUGCUGGAGGUAUCAGAAGUGCGAAUGCUGACAUAAGUAACGAUAAAGCGGGUGAAAAGCCCGCUCGCCGGAAGACCAAGGGUUCCUGUCCAACGUUAAUCGGGGCAGGGUGAGUCGACCCCUAAGGCGAGGCCGAAAGGCGUAGUCGAUGGGAAACGGGUUAAUAUUCCCGUACUUGGUGUUACUGCGAAGGGGGGACGGAGAAGGCUAUGUUGGCCGGGCGACGGUUGUCCCGGUUUAAGCGUGUAGGUGUGUGUUCCAGGUAAAUCCGGUU
rnacentral:rRNA from 1 species